UAAGGCCCUUCCUGGCAUCCAGAGGAUAUAGCUUUUUAAUUUUUGUGACUCAUGAGGAUUUGGAUAGAAUACAAAUGCUGAAGGAGCCCAAACUCCUUUUAAUUAAAUUAUAUGAAAACUCAAACACUGCCAUGUCCAUGGUUGUUUCAGCAACUUCAUUUGAAACUGCUUAUCAAUAACAGCUGUAAUACUGUGGCUUUUCUCCAUGGACUCAUGGUGGUCUUUGGAACAACGUUCUUCAACUUUGACAGUUCCUGAAACUCCUCAGAGCCUUAAAGAUGAAAUGGGUUUCUUGUCAUGUUAAUAAGACACUUUUGGACCCCACCCAAGGGCAGUGGCUGGAGGUUGAGUCAGUCAAUGGCCAGUGAUUUAGUCAAUCAUGACUCUGCAGUGAAGCCCUCACAAAAAUCCAUGAGAAGAGCUUUCGUUUCUUUUGCAUCCUGCUUCUCUGUCGGAGAGAGGUUCCAAGCUCGGGGACCAGAACCCUUCCUUGUGCUGCUGAAGCAGGCCCCAAGCUCCACGAGGAUAGAAGCUCCUUUAUUUGGGACCUUGCUAUGUAUUUCUUCAUCUGACUGUUAACUUGUAUCUUUUACAGUAUCUUUAUUAAACUGGUUAAUGUAAGUG